rfam:Triticum aestivum genome assembly, contig: Triticum_aestivum_CS42_TGACv1_scaffold_576756_7BL
CUGCUACUCCCUCCGUCCGAAAUUACUUGUCAUAAAAAUGGAUGAUAUUGGAUGUAUCUAAAACUAAAAUACAUCUAGAUACAUCCAUUUCAGUGACAAGUAUUUUCGGACGGAGGGAGUAGUUU